rnacentral:rRNA from 1 species
AACGAACGCUGGCGGCAUGCCUAACACAUGCAAGUCGAACGAGACCUUCGGGUCUAGUGGCGCACGGCUGCGUAACGCGUGGGAACCUGCCCUUAGGUUCGGAAUAACUCCCCGAAAGGGGUGCUAAUACCGGAUAAUGUCUUCGGACCAAAGAUUUCUCGCCUUUGGAUGGGCCCGCGUUGGAUUAGCUAGUUGGUAGGGUAAAAGCCUACCAAGGCGACGAUCCAUAGCUGGUCUGAGAGGAAGAUCAGUCACACUGGGACUGAGACACGGCCCAGACUCCUACGGGAGGCAGCAGUGGGGAAUAUUGGACAAUGGGCGAAAGCCUGAUCCAGCACUGCCGCGUGAGUGAUGAAGGCCUUAGGGUUGUAAAGCUCUUUUACCCGGGAUGAUAAUGACAGUACCGGGAGAAUAAGCGCCGGCUAACUCCGUG